rnacentral:lncRNA from 1 species
GAAAAAAUCUGGACCGGUCUUCCAGAGAGUGAGGGCAGCGGUCCGAGUGCUUUAAGUGCCAGUGACAGAGUCCUGGGCAAAGCGGUGCCCUCCAGAACCGCUGGUCUCUGCCGAGCCUGUGUGACCGUGGCUGAGGACCCCUGGCCCUGGAGGAGGACCUGCCCCUAUUCCAGGUGGAAAUGAGGUUGUCCGCCACCGUGCUGGCCAGUGAGGAAUGCCCAACGUGACUGGCAGUGGCCGGGGCCUGUGUGGCCCCACAUGAGGACAUCCGAUCCCGUGCAGGCCACUGGAGGAACUCUGGACUUGGUGGGCAGCAUGGUGGAGAGCUCAGAAGUUCCUCCUCUCCGCUUCACCAAUGAUGAAUCCAAGGCACCAUGAAGGGGAAGCCUCAGUUCCUCAUCCAUAGAAUGGGGGUAAAAACAGGACCUACUGAGCCGGGCAUGGAGGUACACACCUGUGAUCCCAGCACUAAGAAAGCUGAGGCAGGAGGACCACAAGUUCAAGGCCAGCCUGAACUGCACAGUGAGUUCAAAGCCAGCCCAGACUAUGUAGCAAGACCCUGUCUCCAAAAACAAAUUAGUUUUGAUUUCAACUCAGUCAAAGCUCUACUUUCAGUCCCCAGUUCAUUUUCCAAACUUAAACUCGGUGUCUUCACUUAGAUGACAACAAACUCAACAUAUCAAACAGAAAACGUCCCCUUCUGACCUUCUCCUCCACAUUCUCCACUCCAGGAAGGGCAUGGUGGAAACUCUGGAGUCAUUUUCCAUGCUUUCUUUUUCUCCUUUACCUUCUACAUACAGCUGGUCAGGUCCUCACAGUUGUAACCCUUGUCUGCUUCUUUAGUCCUCGCUGUGUUCCUAACUGCCUUCACCUGCAAACUGGCCUGCACGCUCCUCUACUGCUCCCUUCUUACUCGUUCUCCACACUGCAACCAAAAUAAUCUCGCCUAGACACAACUCUGGAGCCGACGUGGUGCACAUCUUUCACC